rnacentral:rRNA from 1 species
AUUGAACGCUGGCGGCAGGCCUAACACAUGCAAGUCGAACGAGUGGCGGACGGGUGAGUACUGUCUGGGCAUCUGCCUGAUGGCGGGGGUUUACUACUGGCAACGGUAGCUACUACCGCAUACCAUCAGAUGUGCCCAGAUGGGAUUAGCUAGUUGGUGGGGUAACGGCUAACCAAGGCGACUAUCCCUAGCUGGUCUGAGCGGUUGACCAGCCACACUGAAACUGAGACACGGUCCAGACGCCUACGGGAGGCAGCAGUGGGGAAUAUUGGACAAUGGGCGCAAGCCUGAUGCAGCCAUGCCGCGUGUAUGAAGAAGGCCUUCGGGUUGUAAAGUACUUUAAGCGGGGAGGCGUUACCCGCAGAAGAAGCACCGGCUAACUCCGUGCCAGCAGCCGCGGUAAUUC